AUGCACGGGACCGGAAGUCAUCAUUACAGUUACUAUGUAAGUGCAGAUUGUUUUAUUCCGUGUGGAACUAUAAAGUGUUUUGGAGGCAUCUGCUGUUCUGUGUGUUUAUCAGACAACUAUAAACUUUAAUAGAGCAACAUGAAACAGUCAAAACUAUCCGCUGGAAAGCGUCUAACAAAACCGAUUCUUUUUGGCACACUGCUCGUAGGCUUGGCAACAGCGUUUUUCAACAGGCAUGUGUUCAUGGAGGAUCUUGCAGAGCUCAGGGAGCAGGAGCGAGCCCGUAAUGACAUCAAACGACAGGAGGUGCUGGAAAGGAGGCAGAGACAAAUAGAUGAACUCGCAAAGAAGAGUGGAGGGGGCAGUUGAGAUCUGAGCACCCACAUCUGAUUGGACAACUGCAAAAACCUAAUGCUGAAGAAGAAAACAUUGAACAUUUUUGUUAUGAGUAUUGCUAUUGCUUUCUACUUAUCAAAUGAUUUGACAGGCUUUUUAUAUACAGCAUCAAAAAGUUGAAGUGUGAAAUUGCAAGAGUUCAAGAAUCUUCACUGGUCUGGUUGUUUUUGAGACCUGCUUGCAUGUCGUUGCAUUAAAGCCUUAUUACAUUUAGUAAAAUACAAUACAUUUUCAUUGAUAAUACAAUACAGAAUAAGUCUGGAAGUCUAAGUGAGAACACUACUGUUUAUUUGAGCACGCAAAAGUAACAAAGUGCAUCUAUUCAAACCAUACUAUAUGAAGAUUUAUCAUUUACCACCAGGGAAAUCUGUGAAAAAUUAAAGUGUGGACUUUAUAACAAAUACUAGAAGGCUGGGAAACCAACCUGAGACUUACAGGCAAAUGUGUCAUAUUAGUCAGUCGAUUGUCAGUAAUACCAAGACAGUGUUUAAAUAGUAAACGUGCUUUAACUAUCCAUAUCAUCUUUUCUGUCCAAAUUCUUGCUUUGUGACACUUGCACCAGUGUGUUUCAAAUAGGAGGGCCAAUAUGAGGCGUGCAUUAUUAAUAUUAAAUAUUUUGCUAUAAAACGGAAACCAGUUUCUGUCACAUUUAAGUCAAAUUUACACAUUUUCUUCCUUUAAUAUACAGCAUAUAUAUCAUAUCUACUUUCAAACGCACUUAAUGUGUUGCACAACAAAUAUUAUUGAUUUCCUUCGGGUUUCACAAAUUUAGCAAUAUAUAUAUAGCAAUAAAUACAUUUUUAGAAUGUGUUAAAGGACAUUACAUUCGUAGAGAACAGAGAAUGUGUACAUAUAAGUUCAUAUCUAUACAAACAGCAACCAUAAAUAUAUUAGAUGGGUAUAUACAUGUUUAAGAACUAUUAACAAUUACUUAACUAGUAGUAGUGUAGCACACAGCAGCAGAGGAAAUGCAUAAAGUGCUGCUGUUAACCCUGUUGUAACCCACUGUAACCCAGACAGUCGGUAUCAGUAGUGUAUUAAAAGAAAUUGCUAUA